GACGAACGCUGGCGGCGUGCCUAAUACAUGCAAGUAGAACGCACAGUUUAUACCGUAGCUUGCUACACCAUAGACUGUGAGUUGCGAACGGGUGAGUAACGCGUAGGUAACCUGCCUGGUAGCGGGGGAUAACUAUUGGAAACGAUAGCUAAUACCGCAUAAUAUUGAUUAUUGCAUGAUAAUUAAUUGAAAGGUGCAAUUGCACCACUACCAGAUGGACCUGCGUUGUAUUAGCUAGUAGGUGAGGUAACGGCUCACCUAGGCGACGAUACAUAGCCGACCUGAGAGGGUGAUCGGCCACACUGGGACUGAGACACGGCCCAGACUCCUACGGGAGGCAGCAGUAGGGAAUCUUCGGCAAUGGACGAAAGUCUGACCGGGCAACGCCGCGUGAGUGAAGAAGGUUUUCGGAUCGUAAAGCUCUGUUGUAAGAGAAGAACGGGUGUGAGAGUGGAAAGUUCACACUGUGACGGUAUCUUACCAGAAAGGGACGGCUAACUACGUG
rnacentral:rRNA from 1 species